UCCGAGUUGACCCCGGCAGUCUCGCAUGAGUCCCCAACUUAAAGCUGGCAACAUGCGACGGGGGUUGCGCUCGUUGCGGGACUUAACCCAACAUCUCACGACACGAGCUGACGACAGCCAUGCACCACCUGUGAAGGUCCGGCCGAACCGACCCCUGAUCUCUCAGAGGCUUCCCAUGCAUGUCAAGCCCAGGUAAGGUUCUUCGCGUUGCGUCGAAUUAAACCACAUGCUCCACCGCUUGUGCGGGCCCCCGUCAAUUCCUUUGAGUUUCAGCCUUGCGGCCGUACUCCCCAGGCGGGGCACUUACUGCGUUAGCGACGGCACUCAGAGGGUCGCUCCCCCAAGCACCUAGUGCCCAUCGUUUACAGCGUGGACUAC
rnacentral:misc_RNA from 1 species